GGGAAAGAGGUACAUCGAAUAUCAAGAAAAAUCUCAAUUUUGCAGGCAUGUUGGUUCUGAAGUUCAAAGGAAAAAACGUCAGCUGGGCACGGUGGCUCACGCCUGUAAUCCCAGCACUUUGAGAGGCUGAGGCAGGUAGAUUAUGAGGUCAGGAGUUCGAGACCAGCCUGGCCAAUAUGGUGAAAUCCUGUGUCUACUAAAAACACAAAAAUUAGCUGGGCGUGGUGGUGGGUGCCUGUAGUCCCAGCUGCUGGGGAGGCUGAGGCAGGAGAAUCGCUUGAACCUGGGAGGGAGAGGUUGCAGUGAGUGGAGAUCGUGCCACUGCACUCCAGCCUGGGCGACAGAGCAAGACUCUCUCAAAAAAAAAAAAAAAAGUCACCAAAAUCAGAAAGCUCCGACAAAUAUAAGACACCAUGAAUAAAAAUUUGAAGACUUGCCUGUCAAAAAAUACUGUUAAACUAUUCAAUGGCAAAAAUAAGAUGAAAAAGCAUUUUCAUAGUAAAUGGUUGGCAAUAUUUAAUGUCUAUAAAAAAAUGAGGAACGUUUAUAAAACAAUACAGACAUAUCGGAAGAUAAGAAUAAAGGCAAAGUAAUCAAUACAUAUAGAAGAAGUAGGCUGGGCGCAGUGGCUAAAUCUCAGAAUUUAAGAUUCUAUUUAAGAUUUAUGACUUAAAUCUUAAAAUCUUAGAAGUAAAAUCAGGACGCUAAAAAUAUAAUCCAAAUCAAAAUUAUAUAGUUGAAAACUAGGUUUUGGAAUUUCCUUGUACAAGGAGUGAAGAGUGAGCACAGGUUUCAUGUGAAAUCUCCCAGCUGACAUGGAUAUCACUGUCCUGUAAACAACAUACAGAUGACCCAUAGGGUUAGAGGCUCUUACCGGUGGAAUCAGGCUGCUUGGGGUUUGGAUUUGGCUUUGGUUUGGGUGGGUUCAGUGGUGCUGGCUCGUCUGUUUGUAAAAGAUGAGAGUUGAGAUUAUGAGUGCCUUGAAGUGAAGAAAAUGAAACAUCAAUUUGCAUGCAGACGUUCACUAAACAUAUAAAAAUUGGACCUUGUUCUUUGUCAUGGUGGGGAUACCCAUACACACAGCCUCCUGCCAAUAUCCUUCCAACAUCUUCCAGCUACAGUACUGAUAAAGCAUUUUCAAUAAAACCUAUCAGGCAGCUUUUCAGAUCAGCUACAGAAUUGGCAAGGUACUGUGUAAAAUGAAAAUGCAGAAAUCCUUGCUCAACUGAAUAUUAAGAAUUUCAAGAUGACAACUAAAGACUCAUAAACCAAUAUGGCACCCUUGUAAGCAUGGGUCCCUGGGUGAUCGAACAAGUCACACACUCAUGAAGCCUAACUUG
rnacentral:lncRNA from 1 species